rnacentral:rRNA from 1 species
AUUGAACGCUAGCGGCAUGCCUUACACAUGCAAGUCGAACGGAGUGGCGAACGGGUGAGUAAUGUAACGGAAUGUGCCCAGUAGCGGGGGAUAACUACGCCAAAGCGUAGCUAAUACCGCAUACGCUUGGAGCGGCCGAUGUCGGAUUAGUAUGAUGGUGGGGUAAAGGUUCACCAAGGCGACGAACCGCAGCUGUUGUGAGAGUAGGACCAGCCACAUGGGAACGGAGAGACGGCCCAGGCUCCUACGGGAGGCAGCAGUGGGGAAUUUUGCGCAAAGGGGGAAACCCUGAGCCAGCCUGCCCGCGUGUGCGAUGAAGGCCUUCGGGUUGUAAAGCUCUUUAGGUAGGUAGGCGGUACCUGCAGAAGAAGCACGGGCUAACUCCGGGCCAGCAGCCGCGGUAAUUC